UUUCUACUCCCUCCGUCUGAAAAUACUUGUCAUCAAAAUGGAUAAAAAGAGAUGUAUCUAAAACUAAAAUACGUCUAGAUACAUUUCCUUUUAUCCAUUUUGAUGACAAGUAUUUCCGGACAGAGGGAGUAUUUG
rnacentral:pre_miRNA from 1 species